GGGCGGCGAGGCGAGGCCUGCGGGGCGGGCGCGCGCGCUGACGGGCACGUGGGGCCCUUUCGUCCCCGGCGUCCGGGCGCCCCGCACCAACCCCCACCCCUGCCCAGACCCCGCGGUGGCGUCCGGUGAAGAGAAAGACCGAAACCCAGCCCCCCGCCGGGGCCCGAGUCGGGGCUCUGUUCAUGGUUUCUGGGAAGUGCUAGAAACACGGCCCUAAAAAGAAUGGCGUCCAUUUACAUAAUGCUUUGUUUGCAUUUUGCAAGUUUCUUUCGCUUAAACCCGCAGAAACCCCACCUCCUGCCCUAGUGUCGUUUUAGUCCUGGCAGCCGCGUCAGACAUUUAAGACAAUGGUGUGCUUCUUGGGGCCGCAUUUAUUCAGGGGGUGCCGACCCGUGCGUUGGGGCGUCCCUGCAGUCCAGGCCCCGCUGCCGCCUUUCGGCCCUUGCCCCUCGGUGCAGCCGCCGCGCCCUGCGCGCUCCGGGGGCGGCCCCCGCGGGCCGCCAUCUUGGAAGGCCUUUCCUGCGGGUGUCGCUGCCUCACGUUCCUCUCGUCAAAGAAAGGGCGCUCUGGACGCUGCUGUACCCGUUCCUUUCUGCCCCUUCCCCUCUCCUCCACCUAAGCCAGGCAGAAAAGGCCGUGUGCGCCCCGUACUGCAGGGUCCCGCAGGGAUAGCGGCUAACGUGGCGGCCCCUCCGCCCCCCUCCCUUCCCCACGGCGGUGGCCGCCAUGUUUCCUGAACACAAAAUGGCGACACGUGGCCUGGAUUCGUCGCCAACGAGAAAUUGGGGUCGGCCCGAAAGCUCUAGAAGGCGACCCCCACCCCGUGCCCGUGGGCCGGGGCCUUUCCGUGCGCGGCGAGUGCGCCGACCGCUCUGGGAUAAAGCCCCGCAGGCUGGUCCAGACCUCGACGAAUUCACUUAGGCCCAGAGAGAUGAAGUGACUAAUUCAAGGUCACACAGUGUCCAGGAUGGAAUCCAGACCUUCCGAUAUCCUUAUUGGCCUGCACUAUCUUCUGGAUACCGAGUGAAUGCCACACCGCCGUGAGUGAAUGCCACACCGCCCGUUUUACAGAUGAAGCCACUUUGAUAUGGAGCAACUGACCAAAUAGUCUCCGCCCUCCCCCUGGAGCCCCACGCAUGACUCUUCUCCUCCCACUCAGUGACUCCAAGUUGGCAAAAGGGGUAAAUGAGGCUGGGAAGGUGAAACAUGAUCUUGUCACUGUAAUGUGGUAAUUGAUAAUGUGAUUCUGGAGCCAGCCUGCUGGGGCCUGAAUUCUGAUUUAGCCACUUACUAACUGUGUGGCCUUGGGGAAGAAGAACAGGUUGAUGGAAGAACCUGUUGUAUAGUCUUAGCCUCCAUUGUAGUUCCAAAGUUUGAGGACAGCAGAGAUGGGUGGGCUUUGCCUGCCCAGCACGCAUUCUCUCUUCUUAGGUAAGAGCACCUUGAUUUUCCUUUGGGGCUACCUCCUUCCCCAUUCUCAGUCUGGGCUCUGAUGGGGUCAGGUCUAUCUCUGGGUUCUGGUUAGGGGACAUAUAACCAUGCCUAUCAGAGAACAGCGGUUGGCAUGGGCAUGGUGUUAAAUCCAGGCCAAUGAGGACUUCCUGACUUUUGUUGGAACUAUUAAGAAGUGAAUUCUCAUUUCUUUUCCAACUGGGUCACCAAGCCUGUAGAAUGUUUGUAACCCUGAGGUGGCUGGUGGCCAUCUUGCCGCCCCACGGGAGUGCUGAAGUCAACACAGAUGAAAGCUGAGCUGGGAGGUGGAAAGAGAUGGAGACUAGAUGACGUCUUUUCAGCACCUAGACCUAACUACUCCUUAAGCUAGUCUAACUCUGGACAUUUCAUUUACAGAGGCCCAGGCUUCCCUUUUGUUUUUCUUAUGAAAAUUUAAUUUGGAUUUUUGUCAUCUGCAGGUAGUAGUCUUAAUUCAUGUUAUGAAUUGUAUAUAGUUCUCAUUAAAAAGUAUGGUUUGACCUUUCUCACCAGAUCCUUUUGUCUUAAAGUGUCUUGAACUGUAAGUUUGCUAUAUGAAUCAAGUGAGACCAUAUAUGUAAAGAACCUAAUUUUAUCUUCUGUACAUAGAAAAAAACAGUACAUAUUAACUACAGGAAGCAAGGAAGGAGGGAGGGAGGAGGAGGGGAGGAAGAUGAGGUGCUGAAUUAUAAGAACCCUGAAGUCUUUAGGGUAAUCCUCUAGGAACCUUCAGACCUUAUCAAGUCCCCUUGUUCUAAAUGCCCCUAGCGCCCUAUCCUUUUCCCUUGUCACCCUUCACCAUGGUUUGUAAUGACGUUUUUAUGUAAUAUUUGAUUAAUGUCUGCCUUCCUCGCUGACCUGGCAGUUCCACCAGGGCAGUGAUUGUGCUUACUGUUAUACCCCCAGCAACAGCCCAGCAUGUGGCAUUCAGCAAACAUCUGUUGAAUGAAUUGUCAUGUAUAGUUACUCAAAUUGGACUGACCCUCCUUGAUUAUUGGGGUUAGGGUUGUGGCAGAAUUGGCAAAAUCAGGGAAAGUUGUCCUUGUCCCCUCUGCAUCUCCUAUGCUAUUCAUACCCUAAAGCACAUACAGAGAAUUUUGUGUCAAUGAGAUAGUUAAUUUCGAUUUGGUUGUGAAACCCUUUACCAAAGCUCUAUUUCUUAUAUUUUUAUUGGACCAUUUUAUUGAAGAAUUCACUAUUGUGGUGAUUGGCCUAAUAUGUGGAAAGCCUUGCAGAGGAGUGGGUCAGGUCUCUGUGAUUAACAAGCAGUCUUCCUUGCUCCUGUGUCUUUAUAAAAUUAUUUAACUGGAAUAGUCCAUGCUCACUCAGGCUCACUCAGGAAGUGUUGGAUCCUGUAGGAACGCCUGGGAAGUCGAUGAGGGAAAGGUCCUGGAUUCUGGAGACUUCACUCCCUUGCAGGAAACAAAAGCUGUAGAAGGUGGCCCCGGGGUAACCUGAAGCUGACUCCUUCAGCCCUCACUUCUGGGCCCAGUGGGAGCUCCAGGAGUACCACCUUGUCCCCUGCUUUGCCACACAAAGCGUUCUCCUCCCAGCUGAGGCUGCGAUUCAUCCCUUCCCCCAGCCUGCUUUCCCUGAGGUGGGGAGAGUGUUUCCCAGGGCCCAUGUGACUUCCACUGGCAAGUGACGAUUACAGAUGGUUUACUAGUCAGUAAAACUGCCAAAGGCUUUUGUGCUGUAAUAAUCCUUUUCCUGUUUAAAACUCUGGGGAUUUUCUACUGUUGCCAGUAGUUUUUCAAGUCAGCAAUUACGGUGUGGAUUAUGUAAUGGCUGGGUAUUAAAAAUAGAAAAGACCAGAGUUUGCAUCUAUUUUAACCAAAUCAAAAGAGAGCAAAGGGAGGGGAAAGGAGGAGAGGGAGAGACUAGAGGAGGAGGGAAAAAGAGAUUACGUGACAAGAAGCAGUGAGAUGGCUUCAUGUGACUGGACAAUCCAGCCCACAGUUUACUCUUCCCUUCUCCUGCCGUUCUUGGUCCAAGGGGCUGCACUCCCUUCCUCAGCCUCCUCCAGGGAGGAGACCCUGCAGAGAAUUCCGGGGACAAAAAACCCUCAUGGAUACUCCUCAGCUCAGCCUUGGGGUGUUUGCCUGCCUCUGACAAGCAAAAUGACUAAGGAGGGAGGGGACUGAAUUUGAAGUCCUCCCUCCACCCCCAAAUCCAGGACUCCUGUGUCUUGAUUUCCAAGGUCUUGGUGCUCAGUUUGUUUCUCUUGUCGCAGUGGUAGAGUCAAGGGGUAGUUUAUGGGGGAGUCUUUAGCAUCCCAAAUUUCUGUCAGUAUCUUCCCAAAGCCACCCCAAAUAAAUAGUCAGCGUAUUUGAAAACUGUGUGCUCACUAGGAAAACACUGCUUUACUAUAGUUACUCCCAACCCUUCCACUGUCUGUCCCCACUCCACUCCUCUUCUCACUGGAUUGCCACCUCUAAGCCCCUCAUGUAGGAAUUCCAGGGCUACCACUGGUUUGUUCUUGUGUGACUUCUUACUAAUCUCCACCCCCAUCCCACCCCAAGUUAAGAAAUCUUUGUGUUUUUCUAGAGACUUGUUGAAUAACUUUAAGGACCCUCUCUCUCUCUCUUUUUUUUUUGCUGAGGAAGAUUCGCCCUGAGCUAACAUCAGUUGCCAGUCCUCAUUGUUUUUUC